UUAAAACGCAAUUAGAACUGUGUUUUAAAUACAUAGGGUAGGACAGAUAUUCUGACUGGUUUAACUGGGAAAACAAUUUUAAGUCCAGUAACGCUUAAGACAUGGCUUGAAUUUGAAUCGAAAAAGAACACCCGCUUCAACUGCUGCUGGGACGGUAAGUUCUGUUUUAAAAUUUUCCGUUGUGUGCAGUACGAAACAAAAGUGUUUGAAAUUAGAAAACAAAAGGUUCUGCUGGGAAUGUGAUUGUUUCCGAUGCAAUUACACUCAGAUUUUUCACGCAGGGGAUACAGGCCGUGUAAAUGAAAACCGCGUAAAUUUAAAAAAAAAGCGUGGAUGAAAACCGCGUAAAUUUCAAAAUCCGCGUAAAAAACCUGAGUGUACUCUCCUAUAUAAAAUACUACGCUGCUGAACAGUGCAAUAACUACAGAAGCACGUUGUCAGAUGCCUUACUGAUAAAAAACAUAUAACCGAAAUAUGAAACAUGAAAACCAAUUGGCUCUUUACCCUACGCAUGCAUAAAAAAAAAUAUAUUUUUUUCAAACGCAACACUCUUAAGCAGCACACACCGUAUUGAAUUAAAUCCAAACCACCCCGCCCACCCACUUUGCAAACCAUUCUGUGACACCAUGCUGGUACCCGACAAAUCCGCACACGGCCACCGCUGCCGAAAAUGCAUAGCGUCUACCGCUUAUUGUAGUGCCCAGACGCUGCAGCCAUGAUCUUACCCAUUCGACAUAAGAACAAAAACUGAUUCAAACGGGUACGCGUCACCUCUAUUUAUAAACUAACCGUAUAUGGUUUAGUCACUUAGGUGCGAGUGUGUGCAAAUGCCAACGUUACCGAAAAUCGAUAGCGCUUAUUGCAUCGCCCGGAGACGACGUUGCUCGUGUGAGAUAAGAGCAACAACUGAUUUAAACGGACAUGCGUUGCUUCUAUUUAUGACUUUUCGUGUUUCAUUGAGCAACUAAGCUGCCCUCUUUUGACGGCUGUGUCUGAGAAAUCUGCCUCACGAAUGGUAUUUUUCCCGUUUUUUGUGAACUUUUUAAUUUUACCAAUUUCCAAAAGUCUACUUUUAUUGGGGAGAUAUUAAAUUAUUACCAAUAUUUAAGUUAGGUGUUUCUGAAUCGGUUGGUGUAUGAAUGAUUAAAAUCCAUCUAGUAAUAUUGGAGUUAUAAGCGUGCAAACCUUACAUAGUUUCGUUACAUGGGAGAUAGUUUAGAUUUUAGAAUGACACCUAGCCCCAGAUAGUGGAGUAAGACAUUUUUAAUGUCAAAAUACUGUACCAUGCGGUGUGCAGGAGGACUUUUUUAUUCAGUUGGUGCGGCAAGAUCGAACACCAACAACAUAAUAUCAUGGUAAUCACCCAGCAAGAGAACGCAGUGAUAAUGGACCAACAGAAAACACAACAUCAAGAUGCUCGGAAAGGACUUUCUCUUUCGAACAAACAUAAUGGUACGUCAUGUUCAAUCGGCUAACCGUUUGGAAUAAGCGCUCAUCAUCGGUUUCAUGGCAGGGAAGUGAGCAGGCAAAAGAAGGCAUCGUUUUUUCCGCAAGGUCGCUCUGGUCAAAAUUUCAGCGAAUUGCAAGAAAUAAACCACCUGAGGGACAGUACCCGUGCUGAUUCAGGACGAUUUCCCAUACUUUGUACCUUGCUAUUGAAUUUUAAUACCCGAUCGAAACGAUGGCAAGCGCUGCCGAUAACUGGGUCAAAAAGACGACGGAUCAAGAAAUUUCUGCACUCGGUUAGCGAACUGAGUACAUAUCAAAGGAUUCAGAGCCGGCGGCUUGCAGUCCAGAGAAAGAGAAAAACCUAGUCCACCGGCAGUAGAACCAAAGAUGCACCUGAUGUUUGGAGUUCGGUAUCUACGGAAAUUCUGACUCUAGCAGCUCCUGAAGAAAAACAAACUGCAAGAGAAAAUGGAGAAACAGCUUCCUCCGCGGAAGAUGCAGAGUCAUUCAAGUAAGUCGAAAUCUGCAGAAAAUUUUGAUUAGGACAUAAGGAACAUUGAGAGCCUCUCUUUGUUUACUUUCUCUUUCGAUUAUUAUGA